rnacentral:rRNA from 1 species
GACGAACGCUGGCGGCGUGCUUAACACAUGCAAGUCGAACGGAAAGGCCCUGCUUUUGUGGGGUGCUCGAGUGGCGAACGGGUGAGUAACACGUGCGUAACCUGCCCUUGGCGUUGGGAUAACUUCAGGAAACUGAGGCCAAUACCGGAUAGGAGCUCCUGAUGCAUGGUGGGGGUUGGAAAGUUUCGGCGGUUGUGGAUGGACUCGCGGCUUAUCAGCUUGUUGGUGGGGGAGUGGAUGACCAAGGCUUUGACGGGUCGCCGGCCUGUGAGGGUGACCGGCCACAUUGGGACUGGGGUACGGCCCAGACUCCUACGGGAGGCAGCAGUGGGGAAUAUUGCACAAUGGGCGGAAGCCGGAUGCAGCAACGCCGCGUGCGGGAUGACGGCCUUCGGGUUGUAAACCGCUUUCGCCUGUGACGAAGCGUGAGUGACGGUAAUGGGUGAAGAAGCACCGGCUAACUACGUG